rnacentral:lncRNA from 1 species
GGGGUUUCUUAAUCUCAUAUAUGACAACCCUGAGUUGGAAUUUAAAAACAAGAUCAAACUUGAUGGAGUAAUGUGUGAGUAAUGAUUAAUUAAAGUAAUGUGUUUGUUACAUUAAUAAGAUAUAAAGAGCGCUGGUCACUUUAAGAGUUUGGAAUAAGCAAUGACGUUGACGCUAAUGUUUUCACGCAGUUCAGUGAUGUAAGUGCUCAGUUUAUGCAGUUCAGUAAAGCUGACGAGAACAAUAAAAAGUAAAAUAAGUUCAAGUACGAGUCCUCUUUACAGACAUUACACUCUGGUAGAAAAUUAUGGUAAAUUUCCUGCUGAAUUAUUUACUUAGGUCAAGGUCUACAUCAGCAUAAAUAUGUAUGUUUGAAACAUUUAUUCACUAGAAUAUCUGAGAUCAUUAUGAGUUUACUUGUUUUGUAUAUAAAGUGAUUCAAACAUUGAUUAACAAACGUGGAGACAAACUUUCUUCACAGCAUGGUGUGGCAGGAAAUUGCAGCAAUUUGUAGGAAGUACCAAGGGUCCAUAAUAGAAAUUGUUAAGUAGGGGAGGUCAGGUGUCAAUACUGAUAGAAUUAUAUCAAACCGAACCUUUUUUUUCUCACAAAGUAUUACUCUAGUCUAAAUCAACAUGUUCAGAGUUCUUCUUGUCUUGCUGCUUUGGCUUACAGGUAACUAUUUUAUAUUAAAUGAUGCUAAUGAUUUCAUAACAGCAUGGUGUGGCAGGAAAUUGCAGCAAUUUGUAGGAAGUACCAAGGGUCCAUAAUAGAAAUUGUUAAGUAGGGGAGGUCAGGUGUCAAUACUGAUAGAAUUAUAUCUAAACCGAACCUUUUUUUUUUUCACUAAAGUAUUACUCUAGUCUAAAUCAACAUGUUCAGAGUUCUCCUAGUCUUGCUGCUUUGGCUUACAGGUUCUGUUGUUAAUGGCAGUGUUAAUCAAAGCCCCUCAAAUCUAAUUAAAUCUGAGAGAGACAAUGCAGAACUUGUAUGCGAAUACAACAUACCAUCUUACACUAGGAUUUUCUGGUACAAACAAACACUUGGCCAUGACUUCAUAUUCCUUGGAUAUAUCUGGAAUAAGAAUUCUUACCCAGAGGAUAAUCUCAAUAAAAUAAAAAAUAAAAUAAAAACUCUUCCACUCAAGGCUUGGUUGAAUUUCCCGCUAAUAUUUGUAUCCUUCUGUGAGGGUAGCAGUCAUGUGGACUAAAUAUCAAUACUAAAUUGGAAUUUAAACAAUAUUCAUUUCAUAAAAUAUAUUCACAGUUGUUUACAGUGAUAUAGUGCAAUCAUUAUGUAUCUUAAUUAGAACAGCAUGGCCGUGAACGUAUGUUUCUCUAAUACACAUUUAAUAUAUUAAAUAUCAUCUUACUAAGACAUAUUAUUGGGAGAUAUAGAGUAACAUCUGC